GAAUGAGAGCCGUUGGGUGGGCAUCUGGCCACAGACAACCCAACACAACCACAACAGAAAUUGUUACACUUGAGGAGUUGCUCUGGUAAACCUGCAAUGAGGCAAACCUGCAUUGUACCCAGACAUCCAUCUAAGAGAGAACCUUCAGAACACCAUAAUUUUUCCAAAAUGAUUGAUCUUCAGUCAGUCAGUCUGACCACCAGCUGGAUAAGAAGGAAAAUAACAACAGAGUUCAGAGAGUCUUCCAUGCCAUAUGAAAGAAAUAUGCACAUUUUCAAGGACUGAGAUGGCUUAUUUCUUAAUAUUCCCAUUUUUUUGAUGUCGCUUUUUUCAGAAGAAAGUUUGAAAAUGAAAAUGUACAAAACCAAUUGCAGGCCACUUUAUUUACUAAAAAAACCCUGUCUAUGGCUUCUGAAACCUGUGGUUCAAAGCUUUGAUUUUUUUUUUCUUUUGAA